CUUUGAGAGAGUUGGGAGUAUAAUUUCAUCUCUUGGGCAUACUUUUCUCCUGAAUGCCAUGCUAGGAAUGUAUUAAUAUCUCUUUUAUAGGCCAGAGGAAUGUGGAAUAUGCAUACUGACGGGGUGUUUGGAGCCCAGGGGAGGACAACUGAGGAAAGAGGCCGGACUGAUGGAAAUGCUCUUCCCUACAGGAGCCCUCGUAUUGACGUCUUGGCAAGAGUCAGAAGAGGAAAGCUGCAUUUUACAGAGGAAAAUGAGGUUGGGUCAUAUUUCUCCAUUGUGCUACAUGUAAGCACAGUCACACUAAGAGAUGGCAGCUCAGAGCAAGAUAGGGGAAAAUGAUGGAGAUAAGGUAGCUCUGUGAGUUCCCCAAAUGAGAGUUAAGCUAUCCCAGAGAGAUGUGUUUUGCAGUGGAAACGUGAUGGAAUAGAAGAAACACAAACAAGUCAGGACAUCAACACUAUUUCAAAGAGUACAACUGCAAGAAGAAUCAAACAGGUAAGAAAAGACAAAGCAAAGCUGGGAAUGUCUUAAUAGGUAGAAAAGACUUCAAUGUUCACUCCUCAUACCAUAAUAUCUGUUCUGACUUCCCUUUAAAAAAUAA